AAUUGCUUGGUUCGGCUAAUAGGAAGAGGAUUUGCAAGAAUCUGAAGAUGCAGGGGAAUUAAAAGUUGUACUUGGCAUAAGGAUUCGAUUAAAACAUUGUCAUUGAGAUUAAAAUUUCAGCAAAACAAGAGGUAAGUGCAAGCUUUACAAAAGUUCAUAAUUUAGUUAAUUUUUUAUGCGAAAUAGUGUGAGUUGUGGCUGUGAUGCUUAUGAAUUAGAAGUAAGGAGCUUAGUUGUUGUGCGGAGUAAUAAGGAAGGAGAUUAUGGCUUGAAACAUAAAUAAAAGCUUGUGAAAUAUGUCCUAAAAUUUAAUGCACACAACAUGUUUGAUAAAUUGCUUCUUAGAUAUUUUAAGCUUAAAAAGUGUAAUUUAGGUGAGGUAAUGAACAAGGACUCUUCAUAUAUGUUGUAUUAAGUAAAUUAAAUGAUUUUUGUAAGUUUAAUGGAAUUAGAAAACUGUUUUGAAACAAAAGUGAAAAUUAGACUUGGUUUGAAAACUGACUGGCAGGCCAGUUUUAAGGCCAUGAAAAAUGGGUUUGUGAGGUCUGUUUUGGAUGGCUAACAUUUUUUAAAAAUAGUUUGACAUAUCAUGUAUAACAUAUUAAAAAUUGGUUGCAAUUGGAUCUGAGGUGUAAAAGUUAGAAAUUAGCAAAGUAGGCUCGUUGGGAUGGAAAACUGCUGAAGCAGUUCUCCCAGUUGGUUCAGCUAUGGCUGCUGUACUGUUUUAUGAUUUUGGGGCUGUUUUAAUGUUUUUGAUGCUAAGCUCAUGAGAAGUGUUAAUAAAAUACAUACAAAUUGGUAUAUUAAGCAUAAUUAAUAUAUAGUAUUACAAAUAAGGAUUGUAAAUAUAGUAGAUUCAAUAAUGAAUAAGUUAGGUAUAAAAACACAAAACUUAAGCUAUGAAUUACUUGGAUUAAUGCAUGUUAAGUUACACAAGUGUUUUAAUAAGUAAAUUAAAUACACAAGGUAUAAUAAUUUGAAUUUAUAUAUAUAAAUUCAUGAAGAAUGAGUGUAUUAAUAUAUUAAACCACUAAAGGUUACUAAGAAUUAUAUUUUCAUAUAUAAGAAACAAGCUUAUUUAAAUAAAAAGAAGUUCAAAAUAGGAUAGUAAACUUGCAAAAUAUAAGUUUAAAUAUGAUUUGUGAAUUAUAAUAGUGUAAUGCAUUAUAAUAAUAUUAUAUAUGUUCAUAGGUGCUACACAGGAGCUUAAUGCAUUAAAUUCGUGUAAUCGCGUAGAGUUAAAAGCUUCGCAACAAGGAGGCAAGUAUUCUAACCUUCUUUCUACAAUGAAAAAUCUUGAACAUAGAAUCUUGUUGCAUGAAAGUAAGUGUUCAAUAUCUUAAGUUAAUUGUUCUUAUAUGAAUUCAUGGUUCCAAAUGCUAUUGAUUUGUAUUCGAUACUUGAAUUGGAAUUUGGAAUCUAUGCGCUUUGAAUUCAGCUAGAUUAUGGUUGAUGAGUGAUUCAAGAUCCUUUAUGAAGCUGUACUCAUGAGAUUUCCUUGAAUAUGAGCUUUUAUAAACCGAGUUAAACAACCCUUCAAGUAUGGGACAUGUUAUCGGAGACUAUGGUUCCGAAUUAUGCUGUUGCGUUAAUAUGUUUGUGCACAGUACAUAGGUACAAAGGGUUGAUCCCCCUCCGUACGGAAAUGGUUGUCAACAGUCUUUGACUGAUAAAGGUUAAGGUAGAGAUACCUAAACCUGGGUAUUCUAUUGACAGAAUAAUUAGAAGUUUAGAUUGCUUCUCCCCAUAGAUUAACCAACAUUGCUAUAGUAAGAUUAAUUAACGUUCUAUUUUUACGUUCGGUCACACCAUUAGAGGAAGGUGUAUAAGGUGCACUAGUUUCAUGAAAAUAUAGGUGACGAGACCUAAAUAGUCAUAUUUUUUCCCUCUAUCACUUCAAAAACUUUUGUUUUUCUUAUCAAAUUAUAAAGUUCUCCACUUCUCUUAUAUAAAUGAUUAAUUAUUCAAAAACUUCACUUUUGACUUUCAUAAGAUAAACAUAACAAUAUUUUGGAAAAUCAUCUAUAAAUGUGAUAAAAUAUAUUUUUCCUCCACGAGUUAAAAACCCUUCAAACUCACAAAUAUUCAAGUUCCCUAGCUUCUUUCGGUGGUUCGGACUCGUUAUUCCAUCAUUGCACUGCUCAAAACUUGUUUGGCAUGACUUUCAAGAUAAUGAAGUGGUGUGCCCCGUAGGUGGCUGAACCCUAGGGGGCACCUUAUCUAAUUCUUUGCUCCUUUGUUCGUUUUCUGACAUUGGAAUGGAAGAAAUUGAUUGGUUUAUCAACGUAAAUCAAGCUCUAACAACUCAAAGUGCAAGUCCAUCUAAUCAACUCCGAAGGAAGAGAAGUCGAAGUAGUGAGGGUUGGUUAUCAGCUAUGUCACAUAUGUCAAAUAAGUUAGGAAGUUUGUACGAAAGUUCAAACGAAAACACAUCAAAACUUUCAUCUUAUUUUCAAUUUGAGGCUGAUGGAGCUAAAAGAAAGAUGGAAGUAUUUGAUGAGAUACAAAAAAUGGAUUAAUGUCUUAUAUUACGUUUGCAUUGAAAGAAUGGAAUAAAGAGUAGAAUGAUUCAUUUCAUUCUAGUUGAAAUGAUUCAGUCCAUUCUAGUUGAAAUGAGUUAUUCUAUAUGUUCUUCCAAAGAAUCAAACACAAUUUUUUUCAUUUCAAUCGUAAUCAAACACAAUUUUUUUCAUUUCAUAUGAAAUAGUCAUUAUAUUCUCACCUUCAUUACUCCAAUUCAAACGUAGCAUUAGAGUUGGGGAGAUUUUAAUUGGUGACUCACACAAGAUUGAUUUCUUUUUCAGCCUUCAUGUUUCAAGUAGUUGCGUAGCUUUUUUUUUAUCACGGAUAUUUAUUAAAUAAGCAUAAAUAAUUUUGUUGCGCUUUUUAAUUAUUCUAGAUGAUGGAUGUAUUUAUUAUUUGAAUGAUAUAUGUGGAAGCUAGACAAAAUCGUACUCUAUUUUUUAUUUUAUUUUUUUGGAA
rnacentral:lncRNA from 1 species